rnacentral:lncRNA from 1 species
UUGUCCCAACCAAUGUUCCACCUUUUAUCCGAAGGCAUGGCGAAGUUGAGCUCAAACAUCUCUUUAGAGAUGUUCCCGCUUUCGCAGAACCCAACAAGCUUCGCCACUAUCUCUGCGAAUAAAUAAAUGUUUAUACCACUAUGGUAAAUUAGUGUAGACAUUAGGGUUUAGAGUUAAAGGGUGAGGUUUAUGAUUUAGGAUUUAGAGUUUAGAGUUUAGAUUUUAGGGUUUAGAGUUGGGAAUUGGGAUUUUGGGGAUAAUAUUUCAAUUUUUGAAAAAUAAAAAAAAUUUAAAUUUUUCAAAAGAUAAAAUGCUAUUUUGGUCAUUUUAGUUUUUUAGUGUUAUUUUUGUGAUAUAAACUUAGAAAUGUGCUAUUUUGGAGAUUUGCUCUAAAAACUUUGUUGAGAGCAAGUCUUUUCAGAUUCCCAAAACAAGAUAACAAUCUUUGACCUAUUUUGUAAGUUCAGUAGCAUUAGUCAAAAUCUAUUAUUCUUGGAUAAACGAUAUGACUGGGAGUGUCAAAUGUGAUAAGGAAUACAAAUCGAAAUGAUAAUUGAACAUAAUUCACAAACAAAAAAAAAUGUUUUAUAGAUGAAGAAGAUUAGAGAUGUUGUCCCAACCAAUGUUCCACCUUUUAUCCGAAGGCAUGGCGAAGUUGAGCUCAAACAUCUCUUUAGAGAUGUUCCCACUUUCGCAGAACCCAACAAGCUUCGCCACUAUCUCUGCACUCUCUUGCACGUGCCUUGAGUCGUAAGGAUCAGUCCAUAGCUUGUUCACGAACUGUAGCUUCCUCUGUUUCCCUUCCAGUGGCACGUCCCAUUUCAUGUACAGCUC